rnacentral:rRNA from 1 species
UACGUAGGGCGCGAGCGUUGUCCGGAAUUAUUGGGCGUAAAGAGCUCGUAGGCGGCUUGUCACGUCGGGUGUGAAAGCCCGGGGCUUAACCCCGGGUCUGCAUUCGAUACGGGCUAGCUAGAGUGUGGUAGGGGAGAUCGGAAUUCCUGGUGUAGCGGUGAAAUGCGCAGAUAUCAGGAAGAACACCCGUGGCGAAGGCGGCUCUCUGGGACGGUACUGACGCUGAGACGCGAAAGCGUGGGGAGCAAACAGG